UACGGAGGGGGCUAGCGUUGUUCGGAAUUACUGGGCGUAAAGCGCGCGUAGGCGGACCUGCAAGUCGGGGGUGAAAGCCCGAGGCUCAACCUCGGAACUGCCUUCGAUACUGGAUGGCUCGAGUUUGGGAGAGGGAUGCGGAAUUCCAGGUGUAGCGGUGAAAUGCGUAGAUAUCUGGAGGAACACCGGUGGCGAAGGCGGCAUCCUGGACCAACACUGACGCUGAGGAGCGAAAGCCAGGGGAGCAAACGGG
rnacentral:rRNA from 1 species